CCCUUAGAUGUUCUGGGCCGCACGCGCGCUACACUGAUGCAUUCAACGAGUCUAAAACCUGCUCUGAUAGGGGUGGGUAAUCUUUUGAAUGUGCAUCGUGAUUGGGAUAGAUGAUUGCAAUUUUUCAUCUUCAGCGAGGAAUGCCUAGUAAACGCAAGUCAUCAGCUUGCAUUGAUUACGUCCCUGCCCUUUGUACACACCGCCCGUCGCUCCUACCGAUUGAAUGAUCCGAUGAAUAUCAUGGAUUGAGGAUGCAAGUAGGUUAGCCUAUCUUCAUCUUCGAGAAGUGAAGUAAAUCUUAUCAUUUAGAGGAAGGAGAAGUCGUAACA
rnacentral:rRNA from 1 species